GCCUGUUGCCUGGUGAAUCAGCCUUGCCAUUCGCUCUCUGCUCUUUCGAGCACGGAUCCAGAUCGAAUGAGUCAUUCAUUUACUGAGCACAUGCUGGGUGCCAAGCACUAGGCUAGCAAGAGCAAGAGGACAAAAAUAUCUACCAUCCUAUGGCUUCCAUUUUCAUCAAGGUCUGAUUUUCUUAACUCUACUACGGUAAGAAGAUGCCCUCCAUCAGCAGGCCGUGUCUGCUGGGACCUCUCUGGAGACUUCCUGAACCCUGUGGAUUUACAGUAAGAUGCAGUUUCCUGGGGAGUAAUUCUGGUGGAUACAAAUUCCGGAGUAUUACACCUGGCUUGCCUGGAGAUGUUACAAGUAGCUGGAUGGAUUCUUCAGCCUGGAUGCCCACUGAAAACAAGGACCGAAACUAAGAGGAUUGUAUCUCUACCCUUGACUCAAUGAGAAUGUUUGUUGUCAUCUCUCGGGCUACCUGGAGCUCCCUCUAAAAUGGGCUGGGACACUGCCUGAUUGAGGUGGCCAUUGAGAAUUCAAGUGUACCUCUUGGUCCCUGAUGCAGAAAUGAAGUCCCCAGCAUGCUCAAGAAGAGCUUCCUUGGAGGAUGAGAGGCAUGGGAAUCUAAGGAAUAUGUGCAAGGAAUGAGUGACUGCUGUGUGCCAGGGCUGCUUCGUGCUCAGUGCUGGCUCACACAUAUACCCUUUAAGCGUUCCAGAAGGAUUUUGAGAUCCUUUCCUAAAUCAAAGGUGGAAUAUUUGGGGAUUUGGAAAAUUGAGAAGCCAGUCUCUCAGAAGAACCAGUUGUGUUACUUUGCUGUGAGAUGCCUGCCCUAAGAGAGGAGCAGAAGGUCGGAACGGGUCCUCUAAUGUGAUAAUUAG
rnacentral:lncRNA from 1 species